UACGGAGGGUGCAAACGUUGCUCGGAAUCAUUGGGCGUAAAGCGCACGUAGGCGGCGUGAUAAGUUGGGUGUGAAAGCCCUGGGCUCAACCCAGGAAGUGCAUUCAAAACUGUCACGCUUGAAUCUCGGAGGGGGUCAGAGAAUUCCCGGUGUAGAGGUGAAAUUCGUAGAUAUCGGGAGGAAUACCAGUGGCGAAGGCGCUGACCUGGACGAAGAUUGACGCUGAGGUGCGAAAGCGCGGGGAGCAAACAGG
rnacentral:rRNA from 1 species